rnacentral:rRNA from 1 species
GACGAACGCUGGCGGCGCGCCUAACACAUGCAAGUCGAACGAGCGAGCGAGAGCUUGCUUUCUCGAGCGAGUGGCGAACGGGUGAGUAACGCGUGAGGAACCUGCCUCAAAGAGGGGGACAACAGUUGGAAACGACUGCUAAUACCGCAUAAGCCCACGGUGCCGCAUGGCACAGAGGGAAAAGGAGCAAUCCGCUUUGAGAUGGCCUCGCGUCCGAUUAGCUAGUUGGUGAGGUAAUGGCCCACCAAGGCGACGAUCGGUAGCCGGACUGAGAGGUUGAACGGCCACAUUGGGACUGAGACACGGCGCAGACUCCUACGGGAGGCAGCAGUGGGGAAUAUUGCACAAUGGGGGAAACACUGAUGCAGCGACGCCGCGUAGAGGAAGAAGGUCUGCGAAUUGUAAACUCCUGUUGUUGGGGAAGAUAAUGACGGUACCCAACAAGGAAGUGACGGCUAACUACGUG